GAGAGGAUGUACAUGCAUCUCUGGAAGAAGCCAUUACCUUCUUCGAUCUGAGCAGUCUAGGCAGAGUAUGAGGAAAAGUGGUUGAGCGCGACGGACGACGAUGACCAGGCAACAAGCACGAUGACGGACGGCGGCAAAAGCGUGGCUGAGCAGAGGUAGACCAGACGACAGACGCGGAGAACGAGGAAGAAGCUGUGAUUGGUGAAUGAGGAGAGGAGUUGGAGACUUGGAUCACGACGACAACGACCAAACAAGGACAGAAGCUCUUGAGCGCGACGGACGGCGGCGGAAGCUAUUGUAAGCUAGGGUUUCUUUUU